AUGAAUGGCACGGUCAGCGUCAAGAUUAAUGAUGAGGUUGGGCCUUAUAUACAAAGUGCCAAGAGGGUGAGGCAGGGCGAUCCUCAUUCCCCUUUCCUUUUUAAUCUGGCGGCUGAGUGCCUAACUAAGAUGAUGUUGACUGCACAAAAGAAUGGUCUUAUUAAAGGUUUGGCUGCUGAUCUUAUUGAGGAUGGGGUGGGCAUCCUACAAUACGCUGAUGACACGGUGCUUUGUUUUGAACAUGAUAUCGAUAAAGCCAUCAAUGUCAAGCUCUUGCUCUAUCUUUUUGAACUCAUGUCUGGUUUAAAAAUCAAUUUUGAGAAGAGUGAGGUUUUUGGUAUCGGAGGAGAUAACGAUAUAGAUUUAGUUUACGCUGAUAUGUUUGGUUGCCAAGUGGGUACCCUACCUAUGAAAUAA
rnacentral:rRNA from 1 species